rnacentral:rRNA from 1 species
AUUGAACGCUGGCGGCAGGCCUAACACAUGCAAGUCGAGCGGAUGAAGGGAGCUUGCUCCUGGAUUCAGCGGCGGGCGGGUGAGUAAUGCCUAGGAAUCUGCCUGGUAGUGGGGGAUAACGUCCGGAAACGGGCGCUAAUACCGCAUACGUCCUGAGGGAGAAAGUGGGGGAUCUUCGGACCUCACGCUAUCAGAUGAGCCUAGGUCGGAUUAGCUAGUUGGUGGGGUAAAGGCCUACCAAGGCGACGAUCCGUAACUGGUCUGAGAGGAUGAUCAGUCACACUGGAACUGAGACACGGUCCAGACUCCUACGGGAGGCAGCAGUGGGGAAUAUUGGACAAUGGGCGAAAGCCUGAUCCAGCCAUGCCGCGUGUGUGAAGAAGGUCUUCGGAUUGUAAAGCACUUUAAGUUGGGAGGAAGGGCAGUAAGUUAAUACCUUGCUGUUUUGAUGUUACCAACAGAAUAAGCACCGGCUAACUUCGUG